UAUUAUUUUGGAUGUAAAUUAUUUAAACUUGAGUAGUAGUAGAUAAGAUCUUGAAACUUAAAGAAUUUGGCGGUAUUUUAGUCUAUUUAGAGGAAUCUGUCCCAUAAUCGAUAAUCCGCGUUGGACCUUACUUAAUUUAUAAUAAUAUGUAUACCGCCGUUGUUGAAAAUCUUUUUAGGGUUAUGGAAUUUUUUUAAUAUUUAUUAGAUAAAUUUUCAGGUCAAGGUGCAGUUUAUAAUUAAGUGGUGAUGGAUUACAAUAUUUAUAUUAUAUAUGAAUUAUUGUCUGUAAUUGAUAAUAUGAAGGUGGAUUUAAUAGUAAUAUUAUGAAGGUUGUUAAUAUGAUUUUAGCUCUAAAAUAUGCACACAUCGCCCGUCGCUCUCGUUAUAUUUAAGGUGAG
rnacentral:rRNA from 1 species